rnacentral:rRNA from 1 species
GAUGCUUGAUUGAGCCGCAUGGUUCAAUUAUAAAAGGUGGCUUUCAGCUACCACUUACAGAUGGACCCGCGGCGCAUUAGCUAGUUGGUGAGGUAACGGCUCACCAAGGCGACGAUGCGUAGCCGACCUGAGAGGGUGAUCGGCCACACUGGGACUGAGACACGGCCCAGACUCCUACGGGAGGCAGCAGUAGGGAAUCUUCCGCAAUGGACGAAAGUCUGACGGAGCAACGCCGCGUGAGUGAUGAAGGUUUUCGGAUCGUAAAACUCUGUUGUUAGGGAAGAACAAGUACCGUUCGAAUAGGGCGGUACCUUGACGGUACCUAACCAGAAAGCCACGGCUAACUACGUGCCAGCAGCCGCGGUAAUACGUAGGUGGCAAGCGUUGUCCGGAAUUAUUGGGCGUAAAGCGCGCGCAGGCGGUUUCUUAAGUCUGAUGUGAAAGCCCCCGGCUCAACCGGGGAGGGUCAUUGGAAACUGGGGAACUUGAGUGCAGAAGAGGAGAGUGGAAUUCCACGUGUAGCGGUGAAAUGCGUAGAGAUGUGGAGGAACACCAGUGGCGAAGGCGACUCUCUGGUCUGUAACUGACGCUGAGGCGCGAAAGCGUGGGGAGCGAACAGGAUUA